CGUCAAAUGAGUUUCCUUCAACCUUAAUGGAACGAUCUUUUAGAUAAGUGUUUAAUGUUCCUUCAAUAUCAGUUGGUUCCACUCCUGAAUCUGGUGCUAGGCGCUCUGAAUAUGAGAUUUCCAGUUUUGGGACCAUCAAUGGGCAUUCAUAGGUUAUCUAAUAACUGUUACUAUUUGCAAUCAAAUUUCAUGACUAAAACUUGCUGAUUUAAUCUUACAGUGACAUUUAGAUCUUUAUAUCCAUAAAUAACCUCAGCAUCUCCAAAUAUUGCAUAUGUAUUGCUAGGAUGGUAUUGACAAUCUUUUUCAUGCUUUUCGUUUACUGACAGGUGUUAACACAAGGUAAAAACAUUAUAAUUUAACAUAGCAUACCUUGUACAAUUUCUAUGCAUUCAUUGGCAUUAUGUACCCAUUCAUCAACAGCACUCAUCACUGCAUACGGAAAAUUGAAUACCUGACCCUAUUUCAAGUCAAACAACAAAAAAUACAUGUGUCUAGUUGGAAGUAACAAACUACAAGGCGACGCAAAAUUUCACGUGCUACACCUGUUAUUAUUAAAAAAUAUUUACUAUUAUAUAGAUUUCUAGCUCCAGUAUUGCCAAUUUUAGAACCUACAAUUCUUUAUAACUUUUCAGAUUGCUCAGAACAAUAACUACAAGUAUAGAUUUUCUGACACAACAAUCCAUUCUUCAUCGAUGACCCACGAUGUUCAGGUAUUAAAUUUUUUUGAUAUCAUUAAACUAAAAUACGAUUUGUAUCGCAAACAUGUAAAACAGUCAUAACAUCAGGAUUUUUUAGUCAUUAACCAAAAGAGGACAUCAUUGCUUGUUCAAUAAUAUGCAGCUUUCUAAAGCGAAAAUCCUUAAAGAGUCUUGAGAUUGAUUUCCUUAACCACCAUAAAUUCUUGAACGCCCAAACGACCGGCUUCCUUGCCAAAACCGCUCUGUUUGAUGCCGCCAAAGGAAAUAAAUGGUUCGUCAACCAUUUCGAUAUUGGCACCUACAAGACCCACCUCUAGUUCUUUGGCAACGUGGAUCAUUGUGGACAAGUUAUUGGUAAAGACGUAACCGGCCAAGCCAACAUCACUGUCGUUAGCCCAUUCGAUCACCUCUUCGGUGUCGUCGAACUUGAAGACAGAGGCGAGUGGGCCGAAUGUUUCCUCGCUAGCAACCAACAUGUCUUGAGUUACACCGGAGAGCACGGUUGGUUCAAAAAAAUAACCUUUGCUUGAGGAAAUCUCCUUUCCACCAACAGUGAUUUUGGCACCCUUUGAAACAGCAUCUUCAAUGUGCUUGCUGACCUUUUUGCAUCCAUCUUGAGAAAUCAAAGGGCCAACAGCAGAAGAAGAGUCAAAUCCAUCUCCUACUUUAAUGGUCUUGACUUUUUCGGUAAGCUUGCUGACGAAUUCGUCGUAAACAUUCUUGUGAACGUAAACUCUGUUAGGGCAGACACAAACUUGACCACAAGAGUUAAACUUGAUAGUGCAGAAAGAUUCGACAGCCUGAUCAAUGGGGAAGUCAGGGAAUACAAUGAAAGGGGCAUUACCUCCUAACUCCAUUGAAACCUUCUUGAUUGUGCUGGCACUUUGUCCCAUAAGAAUUUUACCGACAUUAGUACUACCAGUGAAGGAAACCUUACGAACGAUAGGGUUGGUAGUCAGUUCUUUACCAUGAGCAGAUGCAUCAGAAGAAGUGAUCACAUUUAAGACACCGUCAGGGAAACCGGCCUCUUGCGCCAACCUGACUAAACCUAAGCAAACGUAGGGAGUGCGGAAAGCAGGCAAGAAAAUAGCGGUACAACCAGCAGCCAAAGCGGCACCACCUUUACGAGCAAUCAUGGCGGCGGGGAAGUUCCAAGGAGUAAUCAAGGCACUGACACCAACUGGCUGUUUGAUGGAGAUGAGAAAGUUUUGACUUUGUAAGCUGGAAGGAGCUACAUCGCCAAAGGUACGAACGGCUUCAGCAGCAUACCAUUUAAGAUAUCCGCUACAUGUGGUGACCUCCAUCUCAGCUUGGCUCAAAGGCUUGCCGUUUUCUAAGGUAAGCAUCUUGACCAAGUCGUCUUUGUUCUCCAUAAUAAGCUCUGCCCAGCGUUCCAAUAACUGACUACGUUGGACAUGAGUAAAAUUUUUAUAAGUUUUGAAGGCCUCGUUAGCGGCACUGAUGGCUUUUUUUGUUUCCUCUACUGAGACAUCGGCCACUUUACCGAUUAUUUCACCAGUAGCUGGGUUAUCAACCUCAAAAGUUUUGUUGUUAGGAGAAGAAAUCCAUUUUCCUUGAACAAAAGAUUGAGCAUGAGACUUAUCAAAGCCAAAGAGCUCAGGGCGUUUGAAUUGAGGGGCCAUUUUUGAAGAGUAUUAUACAAAAAAGUGGGAAGGAGUAAAUGUUAAAAACUAUAUGAAACGAAGUUAUCGAUAGAAAU